rnacentral:rRNA from 1 species
GAUGAACGCUGGCGGCGUGCCUAAUACAUGCAAGUCGAGCGAACGGACGAGAAGCUUGCUUCUCUGAUGUUAGCGGCGGACGGGUGAGUAACACGUGGAUAACCUACCUAUAAGACUGGGAUAACUUCGGGAAACCGGAGCUAAUACCUGAUAAUAUUUUGAACCGCAUGGUUCAAAAGUGAAAGACGGUCUUGCUGUCACUUAUAGAUGGAUCCGCGCUGCAUUAGCUAGUUGGUAAGGUAACGGCUUACCAAGGCAACGAUGCAUAGCCGACCUGAGAGGGUGAUCGGCCACACUGGAACUGAGACACGGUCCAGACUCCUACGGGAGGCAGCAGUAGGGAAUCUUCCGCAAUGGGCGAAAGCCUGACGGAGCAACGCCGCGUGAGUGAUGAAGGUCUUCGGAUCGUAAAACUCUGUUAUUAGGGAAGAACACAUGUGUAAGUAACUGUGCACAUCUUGACGGUACCUAAUCAGAAAGCCACGGCUAACUACGUG